AUACCCCAAACACACAGAGACAGGGAGAAAGAGAAAGAGAGAGAGACUUUGGUAAUCCACCUAGAGAGUUGCUGACAAAGCAGCUGAGCAUGGAUGCCCAGGAGGUGAUGUGAUUCUUGUGCCCUUCUGGACGCUCAGUUAUUCACCCACGUUAGGCCUUCACUAACUACAGGAAGGGAGAGAAGAGGGCAGCUUGGAACCCAUGUGAUCAGAAGCCCCUGACCUGUAUGCUGGGUGGAGCAAAAAGGUCACUUUCCCUGAAGAGGAACCACCUUUAAGAAUCAGACCACCUUCAUCUUUAAAUAUUUGAAGAACAUUUCAUUAAGGCCCUACCAAAGGGAACUCUUUGCUCUUGAGGCCUCAGCUGCACUGUUGAAUAAUUAAUUUGACCACGACCUCACCAUCCUCAAUUCUAGAAGCUAACUCCAGAGUGAAGCUGUGCCCCUGCCGCUCCAUAUCCACCCCCUUGCCACAGCUGCCCCUCCUCAUGCCACUCUUCCCUUCCUGGGGAUGGAACUUGAGACACAUCCUUACACUUCCCCUGCAGUAGCCCAAGUCUAGCAGAGGGACUUGGCUGAGAAGCCUGUCCCAGGAACUGAUCAAGUGGCUCCAUCUGGCUCACAAGAUGCAGGGUAUGCCAGGCCACAGAGGCAGAAGGCUCAAGAGGAGAUUAUAUUUUUAGCCUACACUGUGGUUAAGAAUUCAGAUGCUAUGUUUCCAUACAGGUAAAAUUGCUGUUCUCCACAGCACUCCAAAUCUACACGCCUUGGAGAGCCCGUUUCCAUCCCUUCAGAAAGCAUCAAGAGGAGAGGAGGAAGCUUUUGGAGGUGAUUGACAUGUUUAUGGCAUAGAUUGUGGUGGUGGUUUCAUGGAUAUAUACUUAUCUCCAAGCUGCUCAACUUGUAUACAUUAAAUAUGUAUGGUUUUUUGGAUGUCAAUCAUAUCUCAAUAAAUUGUUUUUUUAAAAAGGAAAUGCA
rnacentral:lncRNA from 1 species